GAUGAACGCUAGCGGGAGGCCUAACACAUGCAAGCCGAGCGGUAUUGUUUCUUCGGAAAUGAGAGAGCGGCGUACGGGUGCGUAACACGUGUGCAACCUGCCUUUAUCUGGGGGAUAGCCUUUCGAAAGGAAGAUUAAUACUCCAUAAUAUAUUGAACGGCAUCGUUUAAUAUUGAAAGCUCCGGCGGAUAGAGAUGGGCACGCGCAAGAUUAGCUAGUUGGUGAGGUAACGGCUCACCAAGGCGAUGAUCUUUAAGGGGCCUGAGAGGGUGAUCCCCCACACUGGUACGGAGGCACGGACCAGACUCCUACGGGAGGCAGCAGUGAGGAAUAUUGAGCAAUGGGUGCAAGCCUGAACCAGCCAUCCCGCGUGAAGGAAGGCUGCCCUAUGGGUUGUAAACUUCUUUUGUAUAGGGAUAAACCUACCCUCGUGAGGGUAGCUGAAGGUACUAUACGAAUAAGCACCGGCUAACUCCGUG
rnacentral:rRNA from 1 species